AACAUGGGAACAAAGGAUUUGAACCACAAUAAGUUCUAGUGAACAGAAAUCCCAGCCAGGCCUGCCCCUUUGACUUUCUGCUUUUAAUAACAAUAUAUCCCUCAGUAAUCAAUAACAUUGCACUGGCAGCCCGAGGAGUGGGACUUGCUCCAGCUCAAGGAUGAGGGAGGGAGCAGACAUCCACACACCCAGGGAGAUGCCUUCUGCUCCAGCUACCGAGCAGCACUUGUUACACAUUAGCCUUAAAACAUGACUUGGAAGUAAUUGGUCAGCACUGCAGAAGAAGGGCUGUGUAGCCCCCUGUUAAUGAUUAGCUUUGUUGUGCAUGAAUUAGUUGACUUCCUGCAAUUACUCCUGCUCUUCCCCACCAGGCAACGACAGCGCUCUGCUUUCCAAAGGCAGCCGGCGGGCAGUUUGCUGACCCCGAAUGUCUGCUAGCUCCAAGAUCUCUGGUACUCCAUCGGACAAGGCAGAGCACUUUGCUAUUCACCCCUGCACCUGGAAAAUCAGGCAGAGUGCUCCUUGCAUUGUACUGCAUUGAAAUGAGGGACACGUGGAACUGGAGCUCUCCUGGUGAUCCUGUUGAUACAGGAGGCAGUACCAAACACAGCAUGCUUUACUGCAGCACCCUGCUUCUGCCAGCUUGACUUUUACCUGUGCUUUUUAUUUCGCUUUAACCAGAGUGCUGUGACUCAGAGGGCAGGCAGGAAAACGUGACAGCGACUAGGCACCAUUUCCACAUUUUGCAUUCAGACUUCUCUGACACUGCAAAACAAUGGAUGUGAGCAAUCUGAAAUAAAUGUUUAGAUGCAGUAAGGUCCAUGGGUGCCAGCUCUGUUGUGGUCAGCAGUGCCAAUUCUCACCUCAGAGCUCCCAGGCAAAGGACAGAAAGUACACAAGAAGCACUAAUGGGUUUGCUACUGCCACAGAAAAUCACAGAAAAGCAGUCAGGAGAAUGUUCCCAAAGAGCCUGGAAAAAGGAUGCCGAGCUAAGGAAAGAUGCCUGCAGGAACGCUGGGAAUCUGCUGAAGGGAGGCUACCAGGGGGUGACGUGUCCAUGGAAGAAAACCAGGAGGAUGAAUAACCGUGCAGGAGGAGUUUUGGCAGACAGCUGUGCUCCUCUCUGGGGUGGAGAUCUGGCGUACAUGGGGUUCCAGAUCCUCUUGAUUAUCUGCUUCGUCAGAGUCAGCAGGUCCUUGGUAAUACAGCCUCCUGUCUCCAGCUCCCACCACUUCUGGAGUAAGGUGAAGGCAUCCGAUACCCCUCAUGCUGGAGAAUACAGUCAUCACAGAUGCACCAGGCAAGGGAUGCUGGAAACAGAGCAGUGCUGCUUCUGAUGGCAUUUGCACUCCUCAACAGCUGUCUGCCAGAGCAGGAACCUCCAAAGAGCAUAAAUUUGCUGUGAAGUUGGUAGUGUUGAUAUGUCUUGCUUGAUCCUCCUCAUUGCUGUUUUGUGUCCUUUUCUGCAAUGCCUGUACUCAAGUGAGCCAGGAUAAAGCCCAUUUGAUACAAAUCCUGCCUCCUCCAGGCUCUGCAGGCUACCUCCAGAAAGCCCACUGCAGGCUCCUGCUUACCUCCGGCAUCCCAGGAACCUGGAAGAGGCUGAUCCAGAUCCACCAGUUGUCCGUAAUUUACCAGCCUUGACUAGCUGAUAUCUGUGAAUGCAUGGAUGUCUUCACAAACUAAUGAAUACAAUUAAAUGAGAUGGUAAAGCUGGGCGUUUGGUAGCUCUGUCUGACAGGCUGACAGGAGAAAGGCUCAGAAAAACAUUUGUAAAGGAAAUAGGGAUGCACAUUCACUUCUUUAGGAUAUAUUUACAAGUGGUACCUCACAGAACCCCAAACCUUGUACAGACACAAAGUACACCACAGCAUGAACUGCAAAGAAAAUGCAAUUUCAGCUUUCUACAGCAGUAUAGCUGUAUAUAUUGCUGAGCCCAAAAUAAUACACUCUUGUCUCUCAGCUCUGGCACAAUGUUGAGACUCCAGUACUUGGUAGUAUCAUAUUUGGUGACCUACCAAGUCCAAGCACUAAACCAUGUCCCUCGGUGUCAUAUCCACAUGUGUCUUAAAUACCUCCAGGGGUGGGGACUCCACCACUUCCAAUGCUUGACCACCCUCUCCAUAAUGAAAUUCUU